rnacentral:rRNA from 1 species
UCCGUUGGUGAACCAGCGGAAGGAUCAUUACAGAGAUCAUGCCCUUCGGGGUAGACCUCCCACCCUGUGUUAUUUACUCUUGUUGCUUUGGCAGGCCGCCUUCGGGCUCCCGGCUCCGGCUGGGGCGCGCCUGCCAGAGGACCCCAUAUUCUAAAUGUUUACAUGUCGUCUGAGAAAUAUAUAAUAAGUUAAAACUUUCAACAACGGAUCUCUUGGUUCUGGCAUCGAUGAAGAACGCAGCGAAAUGCGAUAAGUAAUGUGAAUUGCAGAAUUCAGUGAAUCAUCGAAUCUUUGAACGCACAUUGCGCCCCUUGGUAUUCCGGGGGGCAUGCCUGUUCGAGCGUCAUUUCAACCCUCAAGCACAGCUUGGUCUUGGGCCCUGCCGGCAACGGCUGGCCUUAAAAACAGUGGCGGCGCCAUCGAGCUCUACGCGUAGUAAUUAUACCCUCGCGUGUGAGUCGCGGUGGAUGCUGGCCAGCAACCCCCAAUUUUCUAUGGUUGACCUCGAAUCAGGUAGGGAUACCCGCUGAACUUAAGCAUAUCAAUAAGCGGAGGAAAAGAAACCAACAGGGAUUACCUCAGUAACGGCGAGUGAAGCGGUAACAGCUCAAAUUUGAAAUCUGGCUCUUUCAGGGUCCGAGUUGUAAUUUGUAGAAGAUGCUUCGGGUGUGGCUCCGGUCUAAGUUCCUUGGAACAGGACGUCAUAGAGGGUGAGAAUCCCGUAUGUGACUGGCUGCCUCCGCCCAUGUGAAGCUCUUUCGACGAGUCGAGUUGUUUGGGAAUGCAGCUCAAAAUGGGUGGUAAAUUUCAUCUAAAGCUAAAUAUUGGCCAGAGACCGAUAGCGCACAAGUAGAGUGAUCGAAAGAUGAAAAGCACUUUGGAAAGAGAGUUAAACAGUACGUGAAAUUGUUGAAAGGGAAGCGCUUGCAAUCAGACUUGCACGCUGUUGAUCAUCGGAGGUUCUCCCCCGUGCACUCGGCAGCGUUCAGGCCAGCAUCGGUUUGGGUGGUUAGAUAAAGGCCUUGGGAAUGUAGCUUCUUUCGGGGAGUGUUAUAGCCCUUGGUGCAAUGUAGCCUACCUGGACCGAGGACCGCGCUUCGGCUAGGAUGCUGGCGUAAUGGUUGUAAGCGACC